GACGAACGCUGGCGGCGUGCUUAACACAUGCAAGUCGAACGGUAAGGCCCUUCGGGGUACACGAGUGGCGAACGGGUGAGUAACACGUGGGUGAUCUGCCCUGCACUUCGGGAUAAGCCCGGGAAACUGGGUCUAAUACCGGAUAGUACUGCGCGGUGCAUGCCGUGUGGUGGAAAGAUUUAUCGGUGCAGGAUGGGCCCGCGGCCUAUCAGCUUGUUGGUGGGGUAAUGGCCUACCAAGGCGACGACGGGUAGCCGGCCUGAGAGGGCGACCGGCCACACUGGGACUGAGACACGGCCCAGACCCCUACGGGAGGCAGCAGUGGGGAAUAUUGCACAAUGGGCGCAAGCCUGAUGCAGCGACGCCGCGUGAGGGAUGACGGCCUUCGGGUUGUAAACCUCUUUCAGCAGGGACGAAGCGCAAGUGACGGUACCUGCAGAAGAAGCACCGGCCAACUACGUGCCAGCAGCCGCGGUAAUACGUAGGGUGCAGGCGUUGUCCGGAAUUACUGGGGCGUAAGAGCUCGUANGCGGUUUGUCGCGUCGUCUGUGAAAACCAGCAGCUCAACUGUUGGCUUGCAGGCGAUACGGGCAGACUUGAGUAUUUCAGGGGAGACUGGAAUUCCUGGUGUAGCGGUGAAAUGCGCAGAUAUCAGGAGGAACACCGGUGGCGAAGGCGGGUCUCUGGGAAAUAACUGACGCUGAGGAGCGAAAGCGUGGGUAGCGAACAGGAUUAGAUACCCUGGUAGUCCACGCCGUAAACGGUGGGCGCUAGGUGUGGGUUUCCUUCCACGGGAUCCGUGCCGUAGCUAACGCAUUAAGCGCCCCGCCUGGGGAGUACGGCCGCAAGGCUAAAACUCAAAGGAAUUGACGGGGGCCCGCGCAAGCGGCGGAGCAUGUGGAUUAAUUCGAUGCAACGCGAAGAACCUUACCUGGGUUUGACAUACACCGGAAAGCCGUAGAGAUACGGCCCCCCUUGUGGUCGGUGUACAGGUGGUGCAUGGCUGUCGUUAGCUCGUGUCGUGAGAUGUUGGGUUAAGUCCCGCAACGAGCGCAACCCUUGUCCUGUGUUGCCAGCGGAUAAUGCCGGGGACUCGCAGGAGACUGCCGGGGUCAACUCGGAGGAAGGUGGGGACGACGUCAAGUCAUCAUGCCCCUUAUGUCCAGGGCUUCACACAUGCUACAAUGGCCGGUACAGAGGGCUGCGAUACCGUGAGGUGGAGCGAAUCCCUUAAAGCCGGUCUCAGUUCGGAUCGGGGUCUGCAACUCGACCCCGUGAAGUCGGAGUCGCUAGUAAUCGCAGAUCAGCAACGCUGCGGUGAAUACGUUCCCGGGCCU
rnacentral:rRNA from 1 species